GGCUUCGGCCGAAGCGGUGAAUUCAAGCCCCGGUAAACGGCGGUGGUAACUAUAACCAUCCUAAGGUAGCGAAAUUCCUUGUCGGGUAAGUUCCGACCUGCACGAAUGGCGUAACGACUUCCCCACUGUCUCGACCAGGAGCUCGGCGAAAUUGCAGUACGAGUAAAGAUGCUCGUUAAGCGCAGAAGGACGAAAAGACCCCGGGACCUUUACUAUACCUUGGUAUUGGCAUUCGGUGUGGAUUGUGUAGCAUAGGCGGAAGGCUUCGAAGCCACGGCGCCAGCCGCGGUGGAGCCGCAAGGUGAAAUACCGCUCUGUUCGCAUUGGAUGUCUAACCUCGACCAGUCAUCCUGGUCAGGGACAGUGCCUGGCGGGUAGUUUAACUGGGGCGGUUGCCUCCCAAAGAGUAACGGAGGCGCUCAAAGGUUCCCUCAGCCCGGUUGGCAAUCGGGUGGCGAGUGUAAGUGCACAAGGGAGCUUGACUGCGAGACUGACGGGUCGAGCAGGGACGAAAGUCGGAACUAGUGAUCCGGUGCCGGUGUACGGACGCGGCAUCGCUCAACGGAUAAAAGGUACCCCGGGGAUAACAGGCUGAUCAUUCCCAAGAGUCCAUAUCGACGGGAUGGUUUGGCACCUCGAUGUCGGCUCGUCGCAUCCUGGGGCUGGAGCAGGUCCCAAGGGUUCGGCUGUUCGCCGAUUAAAGCGGCACGCGAGCUGGGUUCAGAACGUCGUGAGACAGUUUGGUCUCUAUCCUCUGCGCUCGUCGGAAUGUUGAGGAGGCCUGCCCAUAGUACGAGAGGACCUGGGUGGACGAACCUCUGGUAUGCCGGUUGUCACGCCAGUGGCACGGCCGGUUGGCUACGUUCGGAAGGGAUAACCGCUGAAAGCAUCUAAGCGGGAAGCCUGCUCCAAGAUAAGCAUUCCAUAGGACUACGGGUCCUUGAAGUCCCCAUGCAGAACACGUGGUUGAUAGGCCGGACGUGGAAGCCCCGCGAGGGGUGGAGCCGACCGGUACUAACGGACGAAAGGCAACACAAC
rnacentral:rRNA from 1 species